AGAGACUUAGGAUAGCGACAACACCGAGGGCCUUCAAAGCCCUAAACGGGGGUUGAACCCCCCCAGUCCCUG
rnacentral:tRNA from 1 species